rnacentral:rRNA from 1 species
AGCAUAUCAAUAAGCGGAGGAAAAGAAACCAACAGGGAUUGCCCUAGUAACGGCGAGUGAAGCGGCAACAGCUCAAAUUUGAAAUCUGGAUUCCUUGACUGGGUCCCGAGUUGUAAUUUGCAGAGGGUGCUUUGGCGUGGGCGGCGGUCUAAGUUCCUUGGAACAGGACGUCACAGAGGGUGAGAAUCCCGUACGUGGCUGCACUGCCCGCGCCGUGUAAAGCCCCUUCGACGAGUCGAGUUGUUUGGGAAUGCAGCUCUAAAUGGGAGGUAAAUUUCUUCUAAAGCUAAAUACUGGCCAGAGACCGAUAGCGCACAAGUAGAGUGAUCGAAAGAUGAAAAGCACUUUGGAAAGAGAGUCAAACAGCACGUGAAAUUGUUGAAAGGGAAGCGCUUGCAGCCAGACUUGCCUGCGGUUGCUCAGCCGGGCCUCGUGCCCGGUGCACUCUUCCGCGGGCAGGCCAGCAUCAAUUUGGGCGGCUGGAGAAUGGCCUCUGUCACGUACUACCCUUCGGGGUAGCCUUAUAGGGGAGUCGUCAUGCAGUCAGCCUGGAUUGAGGACCGCGCUUCGGCGAGGAUGCUGGCGUAAUGGCCGCAAGCGGCCCGUCUUGAAACACGGACCAAGGAGUCUAACAUCUAUGCGAGUGUUUGGGUGUCAAGCCCGGGCGCGCAAUGAAAGUGAACGGAGGUGGGAACCCCCUUGGGGCGCACCAUCGACCGAUCCUGAUGUCUUCGGAUGGAUUUGAGUAAGAGCAUAGCUGUUGGGACCCGAAAGAUGGUGAACUAUGCUUGAAUAGGGUGAAGCCAGAGGAAACUCUGGUGGAAGCUCGCAGCGGUUCUGACGUGCAAAUCGAUCGUCAAAUUUGGGCAUAGGGGCGAAAGA